rnacentral:rRNA from 1 species
GAGGAAUAUUGGUCAAUGGACGAGAGUCUGAACCAGCCAAGUAGCGUGAAGGAUGAAGGUUCUAUGGAUUGUAAACUUCUUUUAUACGGGAAUAAACGAAUCCACGCGUGGAUUUUUGCAUAUACCGUAUGAAUAAGGAUCGGCUAACUCCGUGCCAGCAGCCGCGGUAAUACGGAGGAUCCGAGCGUUAUCCGGAUUUAUUGGGUUUAAAGAGAGCGUAGAUGGGUUGUUAAGUCAGUUGUGAAAGUUUGCGGCUCAACCGUAAAAUUGCAAUUGAUACUGGCAGUCUUGAGUACAGUUGAGGUAGGCGGAAUUCGUGGUGUAGCGGUGAAAUGCUUAGAUAUCACGAAGAACUCCGAUUGCGAAGGCAGCUUACUAACCUGUAACUGACAUUGAUGCUCGAAAGUGUGGGUAUCAAACAGGAUUAGAUACCCUGGUAGUCCACACGGUAAACGAUGAAUACUCGCUGUAGGCGAUAUACAGUCUGCGGCCAAGCGAAAGCAUUAAGUAUUCCACCUGGGGAGUACGCCGGCAACGGUGAAACUCAAAGGAAUUGACGGGGGCCCGCACAAGCGGAGGAACAUGUGGUUUAAUUCGAUGAUACGCGAGGAACCUUACCCGGGCUUAAAUUGCAACCGAAUAUGGCGGAAACGCUAUAGCUAGCAAUAGCGGUUGUGAAGGUGCUGCAUGGUUGUCGUCAGCUCGUGCCGUGAGGUGUCGGCUUAAGUGCCAUAACGAGCGCAACCCUUGCCGAUAGUUACUAACAGGUUAUGCUGAGGACUCUGUCGGGACUGCCAUCGUAAGAUGUGAGGAAGGUGGGGAUGACGUCAAAUCAGCACGGCCCUUACGUCCGGGGCUACACACGUGUUACAAUGGGGGGUACAGAGGGCUGCUACCACGCAAGUGGAUGCCAAUCCCAAAAACCUCUCUCAGUUCGGAUUGAAGUCUGCAACCCGACUUCAUGAAGCUGGAUUCGCUAGUAAUCGCGCAUCAGCCACGGCGCGGUGAAUACGUUCCCG